CCUACGGGUGGCAGCAGUGAGGAAUAUUGGUCAAUGGACGGAAGUCUGAACCAGCCAUGCCGCGUGCAGGAAGACGGCUCUAUGAGUUGUAAACUGCUUUUGUACAAGGGUAAACCUGAAUACGUGUAUUCAGCUGAAAGUACUGUACGAAUAAGGAUCGGCUAACUCCGUGCCAGCAGCCGCGGUAAUACGGAGGAUCCAAGCGUUAUCCGGGUUUAUUGGGUUUAAAGGGUGCGUAGGCGGAUUGAUAAGUUAGAGGUGAAAUGUGCGAGCUUAACUCGGGAACUGCCUUUAAAACUGUGGGCCUGGAGAGUAGAUGAGGCAGGCGGAAUGUAUGGUGUAGCGGUGAAAUGCUUAGAGAUCAUACAGAACCCCGAUUGCGAAGGCAGCUUACCA
rnacentral:rRNA from 1 species